AUCUCUGCCCAAAGCACCCUGAACACACCUGAUUUCACCUAAUCCAGGAAGCUAUGCAGGGUUGGGCCUAGGCAGUACUUGAUUCGGUGACCCCUUGGGAAUACCAGGUGGCAGAGACU
ensembl:rRNA nuclear encoded rRNA 5S 27